rnacentral:lncRNA from 1 species
UAGUGACGACUAGAUUUGAAGAAGGGAGUGGAAGAGAGAUUGGUUAGAAUUUCAAAAACGAGCGGUGGAGAGAAGAAGAGAGAUGAGAACUGCUUCUGAUAGAGAGACGCGAAGAGUGAAAGAGAGAAGUGAGAGAAGAGGCCAGACGAGAGAGAGGAAGAAGGGAUGGAUUAUUGGCGGAUUUCUUAUUUUGUUAAAAUAUUAGUGACAUUAUUGGAGGAUACAAUCUGCCACUAAUUCAAUCCAGACUUGUCAUUAACAUUAUUGACGGAUUUUUUCUAUCGGUAAUAUUAAAAUAAUGAUAAUUAUUUUUCUGGGUGUAACUUUUUGAAUUAUUGAGGGUUUAUUUCGCAGUAAAAUGUUAUUGAGGGUUUUUUUUUUUGCAUCAGUGAGGGUUUAGAUCGCCAAUAAUUAAUGAGGGUUCAAACCCGUCAGUAAUGCAAUUUUCAAUUGGUUACUAAUUUGAUGAAUUCUUGUAGUGUCCACGGUUCAGCGCUUUGAUAUAGGAGAGCAUGAUUUGCAAUUCAACUGUUUCCAUGAGUUCAGGAAGUGGUGUUAUUCAUUUCAAUCCCACAUCAUUUCGUAGUUUGAAAGUGGUGUUAUUUUAUAUGCUAUGUGUCCUCUACUUCCUUUGGAUCUUCAAUUUUUUACCAUCAUACAAACUGAUGCUUUUUAUUUGAUAAUUGGGAGUCGGUGAGUGUCGAGUAUACAAGCUAUGCAACUUUUUUUUGCCUAAUAUCACAAUUAUUAUUAUGAAUUAAUCAAACAUGCUUUGUGUUUCAUAUUGCUCCAUUCAAAACUCAUUUGGAUAGAAAUCAAUGUAAUGAUGUAAUGUAAUUGGUCUAUUUGGGUAACAGAACUUGAAUUAAUCAAACAUGCAAGUUUAUUGAACGUUUGUUGAAGAUUUCUUCAUGCAUAACAUCACUACCACAAUUUUGAGUUUUAAUAGCGCCCAUUUAAUAGAACUUCUUUAAAAAAUGCUAUUAAAAAUUCAAACAGAGGUUAACAAAAGCACUUUUUCGUUGGCAGCUAUUAUGGGGCAUCCCCUAUAAUAUCGUUUUAUGAGUAACGCUAUUUUAAUGUACCAGCGAAAUAUUCUAAUAGCGUUUGUUGGCUAAAUGCUAUCAUAGAUGAAUACUGCUUUGUUAGCACUCUUUGAAGAAACGCUAUUUUAAAGGCUAUAAAUAUGCGGGUUUUUUUUAAAAUAAAAAGAUGCGCAACAUAUAUUUUUUAUUUCGCUCUCAAUCUCACUCCCCCAUAACUCCACACAAUUUUCCAUUUUGUAACUCACUCACGCACUCAAAGUUCUUCUUCCAACCCACUAACUCACUCACCUGAAGCCUUCUUCCAUCGUACCAUACUCACUCACAAAAUCACCAUCGUAGACAGAACACCUAAAAGCUAAACCGAUUGAACCCUACAAACAUAAUUAAGGGUUUCUGAAACAAAAGGGCUCCUUUGUGCGCGUUCAUCUUCAAGCUUUACUCUCUGGAAAAUUUUGGGUAAUCACCGUACUUUACUUCCUUUGUCGUUGGCUUAAUCGUUAUUAUCUAAUUCUCUUAUUAUAAUACCUAAUUUGGAGAAAAACAUGAAAACUAGGAAGUGGAUUUGUAAAUUGAAAUGGAAAGAUAAUCUGAAAAACCCUUUGUUCCAAAUUUCGUGUUGUCUCAUAGUUAGGUUUUUCCCUCUUUUGAAUUCUGAGGAUAAGAUUUAGGUCAUUUGAUUUUACUAAAUUCUUUCCAUCUUUUGAACUUAGAAGAAAUGUGAUUUUUCUGAAAUUAUUUUAAGUUGUGUAUUGCUAAAUAUUCUAAAGAGUGGCGUUCUGAUUAUCUUAUCAAUACAAUUGUGAAGGUUGUAGUGUUUUAACAUUGUACCAAAUGGAUAUUGGGAUGCCUUGAAACUCUAAUGUAUACAUGAAUUGAUAAUUGUGUGUACAUGUCAUUUAAAAUGAUUUGAUUUAAUGUAUUAAUCGAAUUCUAUGUGAGGCUAGUGGUGAACACAAUCAUUGAGAAAAAGGUAAAUAUUUUUCCUUUCCUUCCACGUUUCGGUAGUGUAGUUGUGGCUGCUUGGAAUUGGUCUUCAGUUUGUGCAUCUGGUGUGUUCUGCUAACGUUGCAGGGAUGUUUGGAGUGAAACAACAUGCAGAAUUCUGCAGUAGUGGAUCAGAUUUGUGUUGUUUUGUUGUCUCUGUUCUGUUUUAGGGUGGGAGUGAUCUAGCAUUGCUUGUGGUGUUUCAUCAUUUGGAGUCAAUUGGGGGUUCACUUGUGUCGAUUUUCUGAUCUGCCAGUAGUGUUGGUUCGAGGGCGGCGAAUUCGGAUUAUGUUACCUCUUCAUAAUCUACUUCAAUAUGUACAAUAAAUUGGUACUUAUCACUCCCUUUACUCCUAUUCUUUUCAUAAGAUCCAUUUCUUAAUGUUAUUUUGUGUAAUUAUUGUUUUGUUUAUUUUAUUUUAUUAUUUUAUGAUGCUUGUUUGCAUUGUGAAACAUUGUAUGCAGCAGUGAUGAAAAUUUUGAAUAGGAGCAUUUAGGGUUUUGAACUUGGUGUGAUUUUCGUUGUAGGUUUUGAAGGUUUGUCUUUUCCUUGUGACUGUGAUUGUAGUUGAAUUUGCUAUUGGAACUAUUCUUGUAACCUUUGUGUGGGUUUUGUAAGGGAGCUAAAUCUAUUAUUAGUUAUGUUUUUAUUAAUAAUCAAGUUGAUUGUGUGUGCUUGUGUGUGUGUUAUUUGUUUGCAUCUUGCAGCGAUAUCACCACUCGCUGUCGUGCAUACUUUGGAGACCAAUAUUAGUCCUAAAUACAAUUGUUUUUUCUUUACUCCGACACUCCUUACACCGGUGUCCGACACCUAUAUAACACUCAUACGAGACAUAUCAGACAACUGAGACAUUUUUCUGAAACAUUUUUUCUCUCUCUUGCUUCCACACAACAUAGAUACAAAAGUUAAAUAUAUGUUGAUAAAUGUUCUAUAAUUAAGUCCUUGAAAUACCCAUUGUCUCAUUUCAGAUGACUUGGAGAUGACACUAUUUCUGUAGUAAUUUUAGUUACAAAGAUCUUCAAAAAGUAAGUUUCAUACUCUUUCAUUUUUAAGGAUUUAAGCGUUUACACUGACAUUAUUUUGUACUUCUUAGAAGCUUAUUUUGGAUUUAAAUUUUGGUUUCUAAUAUUGAUUUGAGAGAUCUGGUUUUUUUUAAAUUAUACUUAGUUCAUAUUAAAAACUAAAACACAUUGCUUACAACAUUUUCGGUCUGUAACAACGGCUGAAAAGCGUUGCCUGAUUCGUUAAAAGCGUUGCCAUAUCUUACGACAAUGCUUUUUCAGCGUUGUAGUCUAAGGCGUUGCCUUUUCUUCUAACAAAGGUAUUAUUGUAUAUAGGUAAUUGCAACAGAUAAAGGCCGUUGCCAUAGCCGUUAAAGAGAAAAGAUAUAACCGUUGCCAUUGAUUCUAGAAAGUAAAAUUAACUGUUGUUGUUAGCAACACUCUAAAUUCUAUGCUAUUAAUGAGAACAACUAAAAAAGUUGCCAUUGAGUUUUGAGAACAAUUUAAUACUAUAUUACUUAACAGUUAACAUGAAUCAAAUAUUUAUACGUAAAAUGAACCAAAUUAAAUAUCAAACUAAAAUCAAUCGGUUUCAUAAUGUAUAUCAACAAUUUGGCAUUUCCUUUAAUGUAUUACAUCAAAGAAACUAGGAAUUACUUUUAUUAAGCAAACACCAUUAAAUAAGCUCUAUAUAACUAAUAAUGUUGAUCCAAUAUAAAAUAUGAGUACUUAGACCUUAGUAUCAUACACCAAUCAAUUCAAAUCACAUUCCCUUUACUUUGAUGUACACAUAACCAAGUAUCCAUCUUCAAGUUUUCAUCUUCAAGUCUGCAUAUUAGCUUUUAAUCUUAACCUACAAGAAAUAAAAAGAAUCAUCUAAUGACAGAGUUAAUCAAGAAAAUAAAAUAAAUAAAAUCUAUGUGAUGAAAGAAACUAACCAUCAGGAAAAUAAAUAAAGAAGGAAUAUCUAAUUAUCAUGAUAUAUAUGUCAUAUCUAAUUAUCUAACAAGUAAAUUGAUGAAGGGACAAAACCACUUAGCUUAACUUAGAGACUAUAGUUUAUCUUCUAAUAAUUACUUAUAAUAAGACCAUAUUCUGAUAGCUAUACUAAUGGUAUAUUAGCCAUUGAAUAUUUCAACUUUUCUAGAGUAACCAAACUAAUCAAAUGCACCAGCACGGGAAACUUAAUAAACACGACAUAAUGAACAAACCUGAUUCGCUAGAGAUGCGGAGUCGAUCCAAAUGUUUAGUGAAGAAUCUGCAGAGAAAUCUGAAGCGUAAGAGAUUCCACGAGAAAGUUCAAAGUUAGUUUAGAAUUCUCAUUUUCAUUUAGCCAAACUUAAAUAUCACAAUGCUUAUUCUCAUAUCAUAGCAUGGUGUACUAAUCAAGAAAAAAGGUAGAAAAAGGAAAAAAAAUCAUUCAACUUAAAAUCAAAUCAGAAUCAACUUAACCUAGAAAAUGACAAUUGCUUAAGAAAAGUUAAGAAUCAACUUAAAUUUAUUAGCAAUAAAAUAACAACAUCAACAAUGAGGUUAAAAUUAUUACAACUACUUCAGAGCAAAGGUUUCUUGACCAAAACAUAUGUACAAAAGUAACACACAUCUACUACAAACAUCCAGCAAUACUAGCCUAAACCGACCCUCACAUACCACUCCAGCACCAAAGGACCUCCAAUAUCUCCUCCAACAAGAACUGAUACACCAAUCAACACUUGAAGAUGAUGAAACAACUAAAAAUCAACAAGAAAAGUUAAUAAACAACUUAAAAUCAAAUCAAAUGUAUCUAAAUUAACCUAUAAAUAUCAAAAUUAAGAAUCAACUUAAAAUUAGUAAGCAAAAUUAAGAAUUAAAUUAACAUCAAAGCAGAAAAUCAAAUCCCUAUAUAGAGAUACGGCAAAAUAGAUACGGAAAAACAAUCCGACCAAGAACCAAUCAGCCCCUAAACAAAUAAACACCUGACAAUCCAACCAAUUUAUAAUCUCAUAUACUUAAAAUGAUACUAUCUCCAACUAACCAACUUGUAGUAGAAAACUAGUUAAAGUAUAAGGACUGGCAAACAUUGAAGAGAUUUCGAAAUAAAGAACAAAUAACUUGCCUUUUCAUGCUUAAUUGUGUGAGUUAGCAGAAGAAUAACUUGACCCCCAAAACCUGCUCCAAUUUUCCUAAAAUAUUAAACGUUACAUCAAUCACCCAUAAUUAAAAAAAAAAAAAAAAAAAAAAAAAACAGAAAUGGAAGAAGUUGAAGCAUAAAAACACCUACAUUUUUCGAUUGAUGUUGAAUCGAUCGAGGAAGUGAAACUCCAUGAAUCAAAUAUGUGCUCUAUCAGUGAAGAAGAUGGUGAAACAGCUCAAAAUCAGCAAGACAAGUUAAUAAGGAAAAGGAACUGCAUACCGCAAAAUAGAAUCAACAUAGCAUUAAAUCAGAAAAUCAAAUCCCUAAACAAAGAGAUAAGACAAAAUAGAUACGGAAAAAGAACUACAUACCACAGAUUCACGAGAAACUAUAAAUCAAUACAAACAUAUAAAAAAGUUACAAAGCACACCCUUAUCGUAGAAAGAGAACUAGAAUGAAGAAAAUCUGAAACAUAUCAUAUACACAUAGAUUAAAGAAUAAAGACUAUAUUCCGUUGUGAGACUUUUUAGUUGUGGCUUAGACAUUUGAUUGUUAGAUACUACAAUACUUUAGUUGUGAGACUAUUAUUGAAAAGGGAAAAUAAAAAAUAUAAACACAAUUAAAAAUGUGUUACUUCAAUCAUCCACAACAAAACAAACAAAAAAUCUUGAAGUUAAGUUCGGUCUAGGUGCCUAACUUAAACACCACAAUUCUCACUUCAUAUCAUUUUAUACUAAUCAAUUAUGAUGGCUUUUGGAUCUCUCUUUGGACUGCCACUAGCAAAGCCAUGUCAAACAUGUGUAGCUAACAAAAAGAUUUGAAAGAAAAAAGGUAAAUAAUAAUAACAAUCAUUCAACUCAAUAUCUUCAAGGUUCGAAUCACAGGAUUAUAAGGGUAACAUCGUCAAUGCCACCACAAUCUAACAUGGACCAUCCAUAAUUUCUACGUCGACAUAGCUUCAUCCAAGCCCCUCUAGAAAAUGAAGUAAAUUAGAUUGUGGUAAGUAGUUAAAUUAUAUAUUUAUGGAUAAUAGAACAUACUAUGUUAGAUAAUUCGUAAAUGAUCAAGAAACCUCAAAAUAUAAAAACUGAUGCAAUUUCUGAAAGAGAAACGACACAUAUACAACAUUACAGAGAAGUGAAGAGAGAACCAUACCUAAGUAGCUUCAACAUCAGCAAAGUCCUACGGCCGCUUUCCAUUGAAUUUCAUUCCUUAGAUAAUUUCUUUCGACAAAACAACCACCUGAUGCAAUGUAAAUCAACAUUCUAGAAAGUUAUUUGAUCUGUAAUUAGAUUGCUCGUACCCAAACUAUAAGAGUGAAGUGGACUACAAGAUUACUACUAAAUCAUGCUUACUUUAACAUAUGUACUUAAGAAUUUAAGGUACUUAUUAAAAAAAAUUCCAGAUUUGAAUUGUUUGUGCUUCAUUAAUAAUAAAUAACUAUGAGAAACUUACCAAAUCACAGUUCUAAACAAAUAGAAACCUCCAUAUGACCGUUGUCUGGGUCAAAAUUGUACCUUCUGUAAUUUAGGGAUUGCAGCGAGAACACUCUGAAGUGCAGCCACAAACUCUUAUUCUAAAGACGAGCAUAUUCACGAGUCGUCUUUUCACACUCCUCUGGAGAGUCGGAGCGUCGUGGACAGAGAAAUCUGAAGAAAAAUCAAAGUCAGUUCAGAACUUUCAUUUUCAUCCAGCCAAACAUAAAUAUGACAAUUCUUAUUCUCAUUUCAUAUCAUAAUCUACUAAUCAACAAAAAAAGCAGAGAAAGGAAGAAAAUUUCAAUUGCAUCAAAUCACAAGAGUAUAAUUUCAAUUUCAAUUGCAACAAAAAAAGGAGAGAAAUAAGGUUGCAUCAAUAAAUUAGAAACUAAUAAAUCUUAGUGUCAACUUAAAACCAAUAAGCCAAACAUAAACAUCAGAAAAUGAAGAAAUUGUUAAUUUCAUCAAAUUAGAUCAACUUAAAACCAAAUCAGAAUCAAUCUAAAAAUGUCAAUUGCUUAAGCAAAGUUAAGAAUCAACUUAAAAGUUAAAAUCAAAUUAGAAAUAUCAAUUGCAUCAAGUCGGAAUUAACCUAGGCUUAUCAAAUGAUAAUCAGAUUUAGUUUCAAAUCAGCUUAACUUAACAUCACAAUAAAUCUAGAAAUAUCAAAUCAGAACUAACCUAAAAAUUUCAAAGUUAAGAAUCAACUAAAAAUCAGUAUGAAAAUUGAAGAAUCAACUUAGCAUCAAAUAAGAAAAUUAAAACCCUAAACAUUGUAGCUAUUGCAAAAUAGAUACCCAAAGGAACUACAUACCACAUAUAUGAACGAUUCGCGAGAGAUGGAUACAGGAGAUUGAGAUUCACAAAUUCGUGUGGAGAAAUCAAUAGAGAUACAAAUUCCAUCUCAAAGCCAUUUGAAUGGAAUUCAAUUGUGAUGAAGAAUUUGAUAAGUACGAUGGUAAUGAAAAACGUUUAUGAUGAAGAUGUGAGGGUGAAAGCGGUGGAAUGAUUCUGACGAAUAAGCGAUUUUGAUUAAGCGAUUUUGAUGGAGCGAUACUGAUUAAGCGGUUAUGUGAGUGUGAAGUGAAAAAUAGAUCUGAAAUAAAAAGAUGAAAAGUAUAAAAUAAAAGAAUUAAAAAGUGAAAAUAAUAUAAUUAAGUAGUAUUAAAAAUAAAACAUUUUUCUGAUUAUUAGAGAAAACAACUAACACUACACCAAUUAAAAUUUGUUGUCUUAGCCAUAUUACAUAACGGUUUUUUCUUGGUCUUUAAAAGUGGCAUUGCAGUAGAUCAUAAUUGUUGUAGUGUUAAGAUCCUUGAUUGAUUAAUUCAUUGAUUCAAACUUGUCAAAUUUAAGGACAGAAUACCUAGAUCCUUGAUUCAUAUUCAUAGUUAUCAAGUUUUUUACCUUAUGAAUGUACAACUUAUUCCACUAAAAGAUAUGUUCACAUUGCAACAUAUCUUUUUUUUUCUUCUCUUUUCAUUGUAAGUUGUUUUACUUAAUUGAACCCAUGUCCGACAGGAAGGAUAGAAAUUUUCUAUGGGGAAUGGAAUGUUCUACAUGGUACUAACUUCUAAAACUGUAGAGAAAAUAUGGUGAAUGUCUUUAAAACACCUUGGAGCCUAGAUUACAUUCACAAAACCUUAUACCUUCUAAAUUAUACUUAGUUCAUCAACUGUGAUUUCUGCAACUGCUAAUUUUUACUGCUUGUUUUGUCUAUGUGAACAUUGUCAUUACUCUUAAAGUAAUGAUAUGAUUUGUGAUUGUUCUUUGCAACUCAAAGUUGAUAAGAUUAAGCUAAUUGAAGUAUUUGGUACAUAUGAAUCUUAAUUUUCAAGUGUAAUUGUUGUGUAUGUACAAUAAAUCUCCAAUGUACAAUGGGUUUAUUAGGUUUGUGAGUGCUAUUAAUGAAAUGUGACUGAUGUAAUUUUGCUUUUAUGAUGAGGGAUGUCAUUUCCAUACUUGUAAUUGGAAUUUGAGUUGUAUUUUGUUUUUAGGUUCUUUUAUAAUAAAUGAAUUAUAUAAUGUUUUUUUUUAUGAUUAAAGCAGGUGAUUUUUAUGAUUAAUGAAAUUGAUUUUUUUAAAAAUAUUUACUUUCUAUUAUAUCAAAAUUUAUAUAUUUUUUUAUAUAAAAAAGGCCUACGAUAGCACUCUUUUUAAAAAUAAAAAUAAAAACUAUUAAAUCCAUUUGAAAAAGACUCACUAAACUCCGCACCGAAGUUGGAAUGAUAGCACUUCGAGGGAAGAUGCUAUUAAAGACAUGCACUUUUAAUAGCGUUUUAAAAGUGCUAUUAAAUGUUGUAUGCUUACAAUAGCGGGGGCUUCAAUAGCACUUUUAAGUGCUAUCAAAGGCUAAAAAAAGUGCUAUUAUAUCCAUUUUUUGGCAUAUAGAGAAUUUCCACGCGUUUGUGAAUUGAUACUGAAGGUGUUUUUGGAUUUUGGUUUUGUUUUUGUUUUAGAUACAGUUGUAGAGAGUGUAAGAAGAGCUCUUCAAUACAAUGAUAUUGGUAUUGAUGUAAGCAAAUUUUGUUUUUGGAUUCCUAAUUGUAUUUGGAUUCAUACAUGGUUUAGAAAAUAAUUUUGUUUCCGCUUAUAUGUAUACAAUAAAGCGAUUAAACAAUUUGCUGAAGAAGGCAUGUCCAGUUGAUAAAAAUUACUAUAGCAUUUUUAAGGCUAAAAUAUGGUUUUAGUCCCUGCAAAUAUGCCUCGUUUUGGUUUUAGUCCCUAUAAAAAAAAAAUUGUUUUUGGUCCCUGCAAAAUUUUUUGUUUUUGAAAAUAGUCAUUGACCCCACUUUUGUGAUGAUUUGCAUACGUGAUACAUUAUAGCUGAACUAAUUUUGUAGUUUUUGGUCCCUGCAAAAUAUUUUGUUUUUAAAAAAGGUCCCUGCAAAAUUUUUUUGUUUUUGAAAAUAGUCCCUCAGGGACUAUUUUCAAAAACAAAAAAAUUUUGCAGGGAUCAAAAACAAUUUUUUUUUUUUUUUUACAGGAACUAAAACCAAAACGAGACAUAUUUGCAGGGACUAAAACCAUAUUUUAGUCCAUUUUUAAUACAACAACAACAAUCAAAUCUUAUCAUAUCAAGUGGUUCGGCUACAAGGAUGAAAAAGAUCGGUCCCCAUUUAUGUUGAAAGAUUAAUUAGGGAUAACAAAAUUCAACAACAAAAAUGUGAAGAUGAUAUGUUAACUAUAUAGUUUAUAAUGUUAACCUUCACCCAAGAAAACAAAAAUAUGGUAACAAUGAUGUCUCUCACGGUAAAAAAGAUAGUAACCGUACUUUACUAUUUUAUAGUGAAACUCAAAUUAACUUUUGAGAAGGUUUUUGGUCUUGAUAUUUAUGGACAAAGUUGAUACACUGGUACUGCAAGCACACCUUGAUAAGGUUUAUCUACUAUUCCCUUUUCUUCCACAAAGAAAGCAUGUUGUUUCUUAUUCAAAUAAAAUUUCUUAAUUGAUCCAAGGACUUAAGUGUAAUUGUUCAUCCCUUUUCCUAUAUAUUCCGACGGCCAACAACACUUUCAACACAAACCAACUCCAUUUGAAAACUUCUUCCUCUCUCAUUACCUUUUGAAUGAAUGAAAAAGAAAAAGAAAGCUAAAAUUCCUACCAUUCAACAACCAUGAUUUACACUAUCUCUUUUAAUUACAAAACUCCUAUCUCCCUCCUCUAUAAAAUCCACUAAAUUAUUUUUAGAUGGAAGAGAUCUCAAUAUAUAUUUUAACCACCGAGUCCUAUGAAUCAAUGUUUGAAUUGAUAGAGAGGUAAACAAUUUUGAACCUAUUGGAUGAAUAAAUGGGUAAAAGUGUUAAUUGAAAAAAAUAGGAAUGGAAUGCCUUAAUUAACUUAAUAUAUAAUGAUCUCUUAUUUGUUUUGUUAUCUAUGACUAAAUAUUACUUAGAAUUCUCAGUCCUAUGAUUUAAUUCAAUGUUGUCUUGAUGGUUAAGUUCUGUAAGUGCUCUUAGAAUGGUAAAAAUAAUUAGGUGUAACGGCAAAUCGUCUAGGAGUUAGUUCUAUGAACACUUCUUUAAUUGGUGACAACUAAGGUACCCAUGGAAAAAUGAUGGGUAAUUUAUUUCAACCAAUGAACAUUCACAUUUUUAAUUUUAGGUGGUAUCCAUGAACUAUAUAUCUUGACCCCACCAAUAAAUUGUUCAUUUUCAUUGAUUGAGAGGUAAAUUACCCACCGUUCUUCAAAAGUAAUAAAAACAGUGAUCGGCUACACAAAGUUCUUUGGCAAGAUGAGAUUCAUCAUAGUAAGUCAGGAAUCAUGAUAAGAUUCGUGUCUAAAAUGGAUACAUACAAUAAGUAAAAACAGUAAAGUUCAGUUUUGUUUAAAAUAAAAUGAGUACUUGUAUCAAGAUUCAUAUCACCAACUACUCAAACUAAACAUAGAAAAGUAAAAACCAAAAAAAAAACUAUAAGAAAAAUAGAAACCGAUUAGGAUAUUAUUGUUUUAAUUGUUUAAUUAUUUAUUUGUUUGUUUGAAGUGUUUCAAUUAUCGGAUUUGUUGGUUUGGGUGAAGAUCCUCUCCAUUUGACAAAAUAAAUGUAGUUUUGCAAGUUAGAGAGAGAUAGACAAAAAAAAUAGAUGGUGGGUCCUACCACUAAGUGGGUCCCAUCAUCAUUAAUUAUAUUUUACCUUUUUCAAGAUUUUAUGUGUCUUUAUCUUUCCAAAUUGAAGAAAUUGAGAAACACAUAAAUGGAGAGGAUCCUAACCCUGUUGGUUUAGAGUUGAGAAGUUAGAGGUUUUUGGUAAUUUGAAGAGGGAAGCGUAUUUUAUUAAUUUAGAAGUGGAGGAUAAUUUAGUGAGGAUAGUAGUAACUUUAAUGAAUUAAGAGAAAAGAAUAGAAGUAAUUGGUAAAAAAGGGAGUUUAGGUGACUUAAAUGGAGUAGCUUUAUUUUUAUGAGUAAGAAUAAUGACUAAACCCAAUAUGAGAUAAGAGAACAAGCAUAAUUCGUGUGGAUAUAUAAGAGCAAAACAAAGAGAAAGAGAAAGAAAGAGAAAGAAGAUCUAAAGGGAAAAAAUAAGGGAAAGCUUGGAGGACUAAAGUGAAGGGGUAGAUUGAAGCUUAGGAGGGAAGAUUAUUUUCACCAUCUAAAACUUAUGAGCGAUUGUGUGGUUUUUAGACUAUGUGUGUUCUUGCAUUUUCAUGAAAUUGUUGUUACUUUAAGUUGAAUUUCGUGCUCCAUUUAUUGUGGUUAUUUUGAGUAUAGUAAAAGUGAUAAAAUCAAGUUGUUGCAUUAAAAUAACCACAAUAAUUGAAGCACAAACAACUUAUAUCAACAACAAAUUCAUGAAAACUUAAGAACACACAUAAUCCACAACCGCACAAUUGUUCAUAAGUUCUAGAUGUCGAAAAUAAUCUUCCCUUUUAUCUUUAUAUCUAAUCCAAAGGUACAUUUGCAAACAAAACUUCCAAAACCCUAAACCUCUUUUUCUUGGCGGCAAUUACAUAGGUUAAAUGACAUCACACGGUUUGCUAAGUACAAUUAGUGCAUAUGUUCAAAUUCAAAUUUCCCCCAAAACACUCCAACUAACCCAAUUCAUAUAAGCCUUCCAUCUCCCAACUACACAUAUUCAAUGAUGUAUAUUUUCCAUUGAGCAACUACUACCCAUACAGCAAUUACUAAUGCACCUAAUCUCUGCCUCCAUAUAAACGAAACAAAUGAGUUCCUUUUUUUUUCUACCCGUAUCUCUCACAGCAAGUGUAAAACCAUGGGUCACUAAUAAAGUCUGCACUCUUAUUAUUGUUUAGUUAUCUUUUGCGUGAAUGUUUUCAUAUAUCUGUUUUUUUGUUUGUUUUUGUGCCAGCACCCUUGAUUCCAAAUCAUGUAUCUGAGUUGGACAAGAUUAUCAAUGAGUUGCGGUGAAAUAUAGGACCUAUCUCAUAGAGUUUGAUGUUGAAUGAAGAUUUAUAUCCAUAUGAUUGUUGAUCUUACAUUCAAACAAUUCUACCGAUUAUUCGGUUGGGCUUGACAUGUUUGUGGGAAAGCAGAUGUUGUUUAAGGUUGAGGUUAUGAUAAUUUGCUUCUUAACUGGCGCAAUUAUGCCAUAAAGAGAGUCGCCGAUAACGCUAAAGCUGGGCAAGAAUCUACGGAAAAACCCCUUAAGCUCAAAGUUGUCAAGUCUUUUUAUUCUUUUUUUUUUUGUCACCGUCUUUCAAGGCUUGUAUGAAUAUUAAGUUUACUUUGUUGUCAUCUAUGUUGUGCACUAUGUUUCCUAUCACAUGGUUGUGAACUGUGUUAUCCUUUUUUUGUAUUGAAUGGUGCACCAAUUUAUAUCACAUGUAUUUUGAAAUUUUGGCUUCAGUUCAGUUUAAUUACAUCAGCAUUAAACUUAAAAAUGAUGUAUCCGUUGCCCAAUUCAAAUUGUUAAUUAACCAUAUGAAGGUGAAAAAUGUACUCUUUGUUGCAAAUGCUAUGUUAAUCUCUUUGCUUUCUUUGCUUAACUUUUUUAAAAGUUUUGAGAACAUACUUUGACCACAUGCUUUCCUAACAUACAUCAUCAAAGUUGACAACAUGCAUCCUUCAAGUUCCAUAUUGAUUCAGUGUGUGCUAAUAAGGCAUCCGUAUGAAAAAGUAAUCUAAAUUGCAUAAAAUCUAACCAUUGAGAAAAUAAAGAUUUAUUAUGUGACAUAGUAGGUGUAGAUAUUGAAAACAUUUAUUUUGUAUGGUGCUCAAGAUAAAUUGGGACUAAACAACGCUAAAAGAAUAGAUUAAUUAAUAAGGUUAACCGUGUCUAUACAUGCUGUCACGUGGCCAUCUCAUUACUACUGUUGGUAGCAGUUGCUUCUUAAAUUGGUUGCUCAUGGCAAUUGUAGCAUCUAUCAUACCUUGAUAGCGUGAAUGUAAUAAAUAAGCAGGUUGUUCAUGUCAAUAUAUAAUGCCAUAUGAGCUUUGAGCUUAGCAAGGUACAAACAAAUCCAUUACAUGAGACAAACGUGAGUGUGGUGUGUGUUACCUAUUGUAUAGGUAUCGCAGGGUAGGAAUAUAUCAGCCUUAAAGUUGCCCAACAAUAGGGGAAUCAUCCAUGAAGCUGUUUGUGCAUUGUCUAGAAAUUUUGCUAAUAGAUGAAGAUGAUCUUUAUAUUAAUAGUACUUCGAACGUAGUGUUUAAACAAGUAUUCUGUAAUUAGAAUAUAUGUACUAAAAAAUAAUGACAUUAAAAUUAUAAGUUAUAAUUGAACUAUUGAAUUUUGCUUUGACCUACUACAUUUUGAAUGUAUAUGACCCGUGCGGCAGCACGGGUGGAAAGUCUAGUUUACCUCUUAAUCCAAUUAAGUUAGCCUCCUAAGCUUCAAUCUAGCUCUUCACUUUAGUCCUUCAAACUUUCUUCCUUUUCUUCUAUAUUGCGUUAUUUUCUCUAUUGCCUCUGUUUGUAAAACUUACCAAAUGAUUUCUUAACCCUUAAGCUGUGAAUACUAUUACACUUGCAUAUCAUCAAAAAAUGGGCUUGGUUCACUUAACUCUUAUUGGGUUUAGUCAUUACUCUUAUUCAUAAAAAUAACACUACAUAUUUACUUCACUAAAAUCCUCUUUUUACUAUUUACUUCUAUUCUAUUCAUUUCUCAAAGUUGCUACUAACCUCAUUAAAUAAUCUUCCACUCAUAAAUGACUAAAAUGCCAUUGACUCUCAAAUUACUAAAAUACCCAUAAUCCCUCCAUUACUAAUAAAACACAAUUAAUCCAAUAAUUCAAACACAUCAAAUAAAAAUAUAAAUAAAAAAACAAUUAAUAAUAAUUGUCAUACCCACCCUGAUCAGUCUUUGACAUUUCGGUGAAAAUUCGGCAGAGAGGUAUUUUAAAAUAUCUCAUUUUUUUUUAUUUUGAGUCGGCCUCUCUUCUCUCUUUAUUUUCUUUUUAUUUCAUUAUUUAAUUUCCAUCUUUUAUUAGUUUUAACUUUAAUUUUGAUUUUAAAAUUAGUUACUAUUUUAUAUUUAAUAAUGUUUAUUUUCUGUUUUUGUCCAAUAAUGUCAAUGAGUUCGAAAAUUUCCAGCAAGGGUCCAAAAAUAUUUUUUUCAUACGGCUCAUAUUCAGACAGUUUCAUAGGGUCAAACUUUUUGUUUCCAAAUCCAGUAACACGAUUGCUGCCUUUGCAAGUUGUUUCCUUAUUCUCUUCCAAGUUCCAACCCUAAUGCUAUAAAAUCACAACCUGCACAACACAAAAAAAAAAAAAAAAAACAGAGAGGAGAGAAGCCAGAAUCGCACAACACAAAAAGCCAGAAUCGCACAACACAAGAAGCAGAUUGGACACACAGCGAAGCGCACGAGAAGCAGAACACAGAAAGCCAGAAUCGCAUCCCAAAGGCGCACUAACAACACGCAGGCAGAUUGUAACUGUAACACCCCGUAUUCCCAACAUAAAAAUUUCAUAAAUUAAUCAGAGUAAAACACCUUAAACGGAAUGUUACACUUCUUUUCUUAAAAAUCACAAAUGGAAUAAUUAAAUAAUUAUCCUUCAAAUUUCAACUACGUAAUAAUUAAAACUUUGCAGCGGAAUUAAUUCAACGACAAUAAAAGCUUCAACAACAUGUUCCAAAAUUGACACAUAAAGGAAUGAUAAACAUAGCAACAAUUUCCCAUCCCGUUACGUAUCAGAGCCCUAAGACACUUGAGCCACCACUCCUACUAAUCUUUAUUACCUGCAAGUUACCCAUACAAAGGGCAACAUUUUCAAGCAGAAGGGGUGAGAUUCACAAUCAAUAAUAAUAAUAUUUAAUUCAUCAAAUGCAUCUAACAACUUAAACUCCAUCAAUUAGUAAUAAUAAUUCUUUUAACGACUCCUAAACCAUAUCAUGUACUCAUCAUAUCAACAGUCAUGACUCGAUAUCAUAAACAACAUCAUAACAGCAUCAUUUAACUUCAUAAUCAACAUCUUAAUCAUAAUCAUAUAACAUCAUACUCAUAAUUCGUAUACAACAUGACAACUUUAUAAUCAAUGACAUAAACAACGUAACAACAUCAUAUUCAUAGUUCAUAUACAACAUAACAACAUCAUUAAUUCGUAUUAACAUUCUCCACCAAGCACCUUAUUAACAACUCAUGAAUAGAGGACAACUUAGCAACUAUACGUAACAUCAUCAUUUCAUAAUAAUAAUUAUUCAUCAAACAUUCCAUUAGCAAUUCAUGAAUAAAAGACAACUUAUCAACUCAACAUAACCAUCAUCAAGUACAUUUAACAACUCAUAGAUAACAUCACAUAAUCAUCAUCACAACAUUCAUAAUCAUCAUCACGACAUUCAUAAUCAUCAUCAUGUAACAUCAUAACAACCUCAUAUUCAACACCAUAAACAGUCAUCAUAACAUCGUAAUCAAUAUCAUAAACAUCUUCUCAUAAUAAUAUAGACGACACAACAUAACCAUCACAUCAUAACAAUAUAAACAACUACAUAUAUUCAACAAUAAUGUUCUUACUUCUUUAACUUUAGUAACACUUACUAAUUCAACCAACAACGACGAUAACAACAAGAUUCAACAACAACGACAACAACUCACUCAACAACGACGAGAACAACUUAAUCAACAACAACAACUAUUAUCCAAUAUAUGUAUAUAUUUCAUAAUCAACAACAUCAUCAAUAACAUGGCAAUUCAAACCAACGACAACGACUCAUGCAAAGACAUGACGAUACAUCUAAGACUCCUCACAAAUGCAACUAUGCAUGUGGUACCAUAUUCAGGGCCGUGACCCACACCGCUGUCGAAUGGUUAAAGCAUUCUCAUCAGGACAUAAGUCCUCACCGCUCAACACCGCUUUGAACAACUAGUGUUCCACCGCUUUGAACGACAAGGCGUUCCAGAGCCGAAGCUCUCCCACUUUUAUGCUUAUGCAACUGACCCACUUGUGUAUAUCUACAUACAACUCAACAACAUCAACGACAACCACUACUCAUCAAUGCAUAUAUGUAAAUAUGACUUCACCUCGACAAUCCAAUUAAUAAUACUUCAACCUUUGAAAAGAAUUCAGCAAGAUGUAUAAUUUAUUUAAAUAUAAAUAUACAUCACAGUCAACAAUAAUCCAUUAUAAUUGAUCCAAUGAUUCAAGAAAAUACACAAUUAAUCAUAAUCAAACUAAUGCAUCAAGUUCAUUCAACAUAGUAUAUGUUCACUUGGUUUCAUACUCAAUCAUCUCCAAAUUCACUAAACUCAACAACGGCAACAUCAACGACAACGUAGACAACGACAACUGUGCAUAAAUAAUUAUAACUUAUUCCACAACUUGGUCAACAUCGACAACUUAAGACUCCAAUACUUUGGACGACAUCUUACAUCUUAGACCGUCACAUGCAGCUUAAUCAAUUUAGAACAGCAACAUAGGCAGCACAUAAACAUCUCAAGAUAUAACAAUAUCAAAUGAUAAUCAACAUCAACUUAAACAUCUUAUAUAAUUCACAUAAUGCAUAUACAAAUAUAUCUCAUUACUAACAACAUCAAAUCAUAUUAUAUCUGACUCACUCAACAUCAACAGUACUAUAAUCAACCUCCAUUCCUACCCCAAGGGUCAACUCACAACAUGGGUUAAAUACUCUUAAACACCUUAAUUGCACUCAUAUUACUUCUAGUUUUGAGCCUUGGAAUUAUCCCAUAAGUUUUGGAUUAACUUGGAAAUGGUUGUGCUGAAUUUUCAUAAGAUUUCCCUAAGACCUACUUGGAGUAUUUUCAUCAUAACUCCUAAACCAAAAAUCAUUUUAAAGUCAAACCAAAGCCAUUGGAAAGCUAACAAAAUUAUCUAAAACUUCCAUGUUUACACCAAAGUCCAAUUCAAAACAGAAACGUGUGAAAAAGACACAAGAACGUGAAAUAAGAAAUGAUGUCAAAAGGCACUUCGCUUAAGGGAACGAGUCUUCGCUUAAGCGAACUACUUACAGUAGCUGUUCGCUUACAGCUCGCUUUCGGCUGGCUUAAGCGAACAGUCAUCGUUUCUGCAUAAUUUUUCACGGGUUUAAACCAUUUUUCACCCCAAAACUCCCAAUUUUGAUCUCCCAAUGCCCAAACAUGUUUCCAAAGAUUGUUUAUAGGUUCAUUAUACAAUUAGGCAUCUAAAGGAACAUAAAACAUGCAUCAACAACAACAAUUCAUCUCAUUCUCCCAAUUUUGCAAUUUCCCCCAAUUUUUCUCCAACCAUCCGAACCUCUCCAAAUUCGGAUUACAACAACAUUAUAAUUCCUAAAAUCGAUCUGAAUAUGAAUUCUAAGCAUAAUUAACAUGAAUCCUUACUCUUUUCUUCCAAAAUCAGUAUAGAACCCUAAUUCCCAAUUCUUAUUUUUCAAGAACAAUUCUAAUCAAAACAAUUUUCAGAAAUCAUAUAUUAUAAUCAUUGAAGGUUAGCCUCACCCUUACCUUAAUUUAGAUGAACAAAAGCACAACAAUCGGAUUCUCUGACUCCACUAGUUCUUCCCACCCUUGUUCUUGAUUUUCUCUCCCAAAACUUGUUUCACGUAAAACUGCUUCUGACCUUUUCUUUUCCUCACUCCUAAAACUAUAACUCCCCCUUUAUUUCAUUAAACUCCCUUAAUUUUUAUUAAAUCCUAAUUAACUCCCACACUCCAAAAUAAUUCUAUUUCUCCACUUAUUCUAUUAAAUAAUGAAAAUAACCAUUUAAUAAAAUACACCACACCACAAAAUCAACAUAAAUCAUUUAAAAUCAUAUAAAAGACUUUAAAUCAACUAAAAAUAAUUAAAUAACAAUUAGGGCGUUACAGUAACGCCCUCUUUGAAUUAUUUGAUUUAUUUGAUUGUUUAAUUGAGUCUAGAAUUUAUUAAGAAGAGUUUAGAAUAUAUUAUAUGAUUAUAUGAUUUAUUAGGUAGCUUAUUAUAUUAUUUAAUAGAAUAAGAUUUGAAAAUAAAAUAAUAUUGAGUUUAAGGGUUGCUAUGAGAUUUGAGAGAGUUUUGGGGAGAAAGAGAAAUAAGAUAAAAUAGAAUAAAGGGUUAUAAAUAGGAGAAACCUAGUUUAGAAAAAAACAUAACGUACGAUCAAUUUUGGAGAAAAGGGAGAAAAGGCCAAGAGAAGGGAGAAAGACCUAGAAAGCGGCGAUUUUGAGUUAUAAGGUAAGCGUGGGACUAACAUUCAAUAAUCUUGAGUCUAUGAUUCUGCAAAUUGUAUUUAACAUGUUGUAGGUUUAGUUUUUGAGAAUUUGAGAAUUAGGGUUAAGAGUGAUGAUUGUGAUGAUUUUGAAGGAAAGUGAAGUUGAAUAAUAUAGGUUGCUUUUUCUGAUUUUUCUUUUCAUCUCUGCCCCAAAUUUGAAAUGAAAUCUGGUAUUGAUAGGUCCAGAAUUGGUCUUAGGUGUAAACACGAAAGUUGUAGGUAUGGAUGUUAGCUUUCUAAUGCCGUUGGUCUGACGUCAAAACGAUUUAUAGAACUUGAGUUAUGGUCAUAUUACUGCACGUAGGUCACAGUGAAUUUUUAUGAAUUUCAGCACAACUUUGUCCGAAUUUGAAAUGAAAACUGGUAUUGAUUGGUACAGAAUUGGUCUUAGGUGUAAACACAUGUUGGUCUUAGGUGUAAACAGAAUUAGAACUUGAGUUAUGGUCAAAUUACUGCACGUAGGUCACAGUGAAUAAUUGAAUAUGAUUGAUGAAUUAGUAUAUGUAUGUAUAUGUUUAUUAAUACGAUAUUGUUCAUGAUUGAUGAAGUGUUAUAUGAAUGUAUAUGUUUAUGAGCAUGAUGUUGUUUAUGAUUGAUGAAUUAGUAUAUGUAUGUAUAUGUUGUGAAUACGAUAUUGUCCAUGAUUGAUGAAGUGUUAUAUGUAUAUAUGAUGUUUUAAGAUGUUGAUUAUGAUUUGAUGUUGUUAUAUUGUGAUAUAAUUGUAUAUGCAUUACUUGAAUUAUAUGUGAAUAAUUGAGACGUUGUUGACUUGCAUUUGAUAUUAUUAUGUCAUGCUGUUUUUGUAUACUGCUGUGUUGCUGUUGUUAUUUAACUAAGCUGCAUGAGUCGGUCUAAGUUGAUUAAGAUGAUGAAGUUUCAAAUUAUUGGAUUAUAUGAGAGGUUGUCGAUUUAAGAUGUUUAAGAGGUCGAGUCCAUGCAUUAGCAUUUCAUUGUUGGGGGCUUGAUGCCUUGGAGCCUUUGCUCACUUAAGUUGAGGGCUUGAUGCCCUGGGAGCCUAUUUACCCUCAAAUAAAGUUGAGGGCUUGAUGCCCUGGAGCCUAUUUACGCUCAAAUACGAUGGGGGCUUGAUGCCCUGGAUUGGUACCACAUGCAUAUAAGAGGUCUAAUUUGCAAUGUCAAGUCGGAGUCGUAUUUGUCGAGUCAAGGAUGUUUAAGUUGCCAAGUUGUUAAAGCUGUGAUUCUGUAUAUGAACUAUUAAAGAUGUGAUAAAUGAUAUAUUAUUGUCUAUGAUGAAUAUUAUGAUGAUUUAAGGUUGUUAAAUAUAAUUUCUAAAUUAUAUGCUUAAUAUUAUUGUUAUGUGAAAUCUUACCCCUUCUAAAUGUUGCCCACCAUGGGUAACUUGCAGGUAACCAAGAAUAGUUGAUGUCGUGUGAGCUUUCUCUCUCGUGUGUCUUAGGUGCUCUGAUACGUAACGGGAUGAGAUCUUUUGUUAUUGCUUUUCUAUUCUUUAUGUAUUGUUUUUGAAGAUUUAUGACUAUGUUUUUAGAUUGGAUUUUUAUGAGACAUUUUUAAAGAGGCCUUCGUGCCAAAGACUGUUUAGUUAUUGAAUAAAUUCCGUUGCGAAGUAUUAAAGAUUUUGUUAUUGAAUUUUAAAGGAUAAAUAGUUAUUUAUUCAGUUUAUGAUUUUAAGAAAAGAAUGUGACAUUCCGUUUAUGUGAAUACUCUGAUUAUUUUUAUGAAAUUUUUAUGUUGGGAAAACGGGGUGUUACACAGAUACCACCAAGUCACAACAGUUCUGACCCGCACAGACAAACAAGAGCCGGCUGUAGAUCCACACGCCUGUGACCAUAGAGAAAUCAAAUCCAACACCGACGGUUUGAACAACACGAAAAAAGGUAUAAACAUUUUCUUUUCAUUUAGAUCUAGGCUCAUAGCAUGCUUGUUCGUAAAUUUUGGGGUUUAGAAUCGGACUUAGAAGAAGAAAAGCAUUCAAAAAAAACAAAAAAAUUAAAAAAAUAGGGUUCCGGCACGGUGGUGUCGCCGCACCGGCCGACCAACCGCCGCCGGAACCCGCCUUAUCUCCACUGGAGAAGAUGAAGAUUCGCCGGAAUCUUCAUAGCUUGAACCCAAAAAAGAAGAACAUAGAGGAGAGAAUAAAGAAAACCGAGAGAAGGAAAGAAGUGAAGAGAGAGAAACGAUUUGAGAAAUGAAGGAAAAAAACCGGACACACCCCAUAUAUACUACUCUGAACCGGUUCGGUUCUCCUAGAACCGGUGCAGGCUUGAACCGAACCGAUUUGAGCCCCCUUCAGCCCAGUACGCGCCUUACACUCUGUAAAGGCCCAGUUCCUGUUUUUAAUUUCUACACCUCCCGAAUGCUACUGCACCCCCCACCUUGUGAUUGAACCUCAUUUCUCUUAUUUCUUUCAUGCAUUUUAUUUUUAUUUUUUAGCAUUGUAAUCAUUAGGCUUUUAUGUAAUAGUCGUAGGUGCAUGUGUGUGUGCGUGUGUGUAUGCCUCUUAUCUGCUUUGUAGUCUAGGUCAAAGGUCCUUGUGUUGGUCCAACGCCACCAUGAGGUACCUACGUUUUUAUUUUUAUGCUCCGUUAGUUUAAUUUUAGUUCAUUAUUCAAAAACAACAAAAACAUGCAAACAACAAAAAAUCACAAAAUAUUUUCUACAAUAAACCUUGAUCCUAAAUCAAGUGACCGUCUUUUAUUUUAUUCUUUCAUAAAUCAAAAUUGCAAUCAACAUUAAUCAUAUUUUGAGUCAUUUUCUUUUAACAUAAAAAAUACAAACAAAUUUUCUUUUAACAUAAAAAACACUCAACAAAUUAAACGUCAUUUUCUACCCCGAACUAUGAGGUUUUGAUCCCUUACGGGUACGUAGGCAAAGGACCUUGUCCUUCCAAAUCAAUAAAAAAUGUAGAUAAUUAUGUCUUUAUUUUUCCACUUUAAUUUUAAAAAAAUAAUAAGCACGUUUUAUAGCACAUUAAUUAAAUAAAAUCAAGAGGUUCCCGUAGAGUACUACGGACAUAAAGGGUGCUAAUACCUUCCUUUUAUGUAACUAACCCCCGAACCCUAAAUUUUUUCAAAUAGGGGUAGUUUGAACUUUUUUCCCCUUUUUCUUAAAAAAUUAAAUGUUCAGUCGUGAAAUAAAUUAGUGACUCAAAAGUUAAUCAAAUAGCAUUGAUCUCCAAAAAAUGACGCGACAAUAAUAAUAUCCUAAAAUUGGGCACGUUACAAUUAGCAUAUUGAACCUCUUAAGGAUAUCAGAAGCAUACUACUUUUAGUGAAUUCCAUGCCAAGGAAGUAAGUUGGCUUUCCUAGAUCAGUCAUGCAAACUCUUUCAUCAUGCGACCUUACUAGCCUUGCUUCUUUUCACAUAGACACCAUAUUCAGGUUUGCACUUUACAAAUUCUUGCUGCACAAGAAAGCUAUCAAUUCUCUUGUUCUAGACUCUUGGAGCAUGAUUCAAUCCAUAUAGAGCCUCUUGUAAUCUGAAUAUUGUAACACCCCAAUUUUCUAUUUUUAAUUAAUUCUACGAUUUUUAAUAGGUGGAGUUUUGAUUAUUAUUAUUGUUGAUGCUUCUUGUGCUUGAGUAUUAUUUUGUUGUUGAGCAAAUAGAAAUAAUGAUGUGGAGUGGGAGGUGGUUUGAGAAAAUUAAAAAGGAACAAAGCGGAGAGUCCUAACAAAAUAAAUAAAGAGUCGUUGGUUUAGAAAGUAAGAUUUAAAUAAGCGGGGGAUGGGAGAAGUAAAAGAGUAGUGCGUAGCAAAUAAUGGCAAUUAUAACGAUUAGUGAGCCCAUAUAUAAAUGAGAAUAUUAGGGGUUAGAAAUCAGUUUUGCUUAUGAGCGAAAAGGUAGAAGAGAAGCAGAUGGAGAGAAGUGGAACCCUAAUCAUCUAGGGUUUAUAUUUUUAUUGUGGGGAUGUAAAGAGGUUAGAGUAGGAUGUUGCUGUAUGAUGUGAGAUUGUGAUUGGAGAAUGAUGAUGAAGUAACUAAAAGAUGAAGUUGAAAUAGGAGAAUUGAGGGUUAUUGUUGUUGUUGAAAGAUUAAAAUUCAAAAACUAAAGUUAGGGUAAUUGAUUUGAGAAUUUAAUCAUAUGAAGAGUGAUGCAAUUAGAUAAAUUGUGUGAAAAAGUAGUGUUUGAAUGUUAGGGUAACCCUAAGUAAUGUUUCAUAUCAGUUUGGGAUCAUAAGGGCUCUUAAAGCGGAUAAUUUGGACACAUCGCAGCGCUGCGCUGCAGUAAGAGCGCCUAGCGCCCACAACCCGAGAGCUGGCGCCUGAGGUGCCUGGCGCCUAGCUCCCACAUAUGGGUGUUUUUCCCCCAUUUUUGUUCUGACAUGGGUCUUAGUGUAAACAUGAAAGUUGUAGGUAUGAAUGUUAGCUUUACAAUGGCUUUGGUCUCACCUCAAGAAGAAAUCCAUAACGUACGUUAUGAUCAAAAUACUACACAGGGGUCAGCACGGCCAUGCAAUCUCCCUAGCUUCAAGAAAACCAAUCUUUCCACCAUUCUCUAUACCGAAUUGGAUUUAGGUCUCUUCACUAAAGAUGUAGAUAAAGGUGUUAGAUUUCAUUUACCAUUAGAUGGAAUCCAUUAGUCCCUCUAGAACUUGAGUUAUGAUUUAAGCACCGCACUUGGGUCAUGAUGCGUUCUUAAUGAAAUUUUAGUACAAUCCUUUUAGUGGACUCUUCAACAUCUAUAAAGGUAGUAGUGAUUUUAAGAAAUAUAUUAGUGUGUAAAGUAAAUUUAAGGACCCGUAAAUUACAUAUAUAGAUGAGGGAGUGUGUUCGAGCAUAAGUAGAAGUGCUUACCUCAAGAUAAUAACAAGCUUUAAUAUGAACCGAAGAUCAUAGUCUAUGAGAAAUUAAGAAUUUUAAGAUGACUUGGAAAUAGAAAGUGAAAGAUAAUAUGGAUGACGCUGCGAGGAAUAUUAGUAGAGGGGUAAACACUUAAAUUAGAAUGGAGAAUGGGGUAUACUAUUAAAAUGAAAAAUGUAGUGAUGGAGAGAACGAAUGACGAGAAUAUAUUCCAAAUGUAGUAAUGAAUAACAAAGGAAUGUGAUGUGUACAUAUGCUUGUGUAAGAUGUUGUUUAAUGAUGAGAGGUUACUAUUGUAAGAUGAAGAUCUAUGCUGAUAUGAUAAUUGUUUAAUGGUGAUGAUGAAUGAUGUAAUAAAUGAUGUUUAUGAAUUACGAGUAAUGCUGAUGACGUAUCUUGUUUAGGGUGACGAGUAAUUGAUGAAGUGCAUUAUGUUCCGAGUAGGAGUUAAAACAUUGGGUAAGGUCGAUGGUGAUAAUAACAGUGAGAAAAGAUAUCCAAUUAACUAAGGUUUAUAAGACGAGAAUUCAAUAGAGCAAAUAGUGUGGGUACGUGGUGAGUCUAAAAAACACACGAUAUAUUAAAAGGAGUAUAAGACGAUGAUAAAAGGGGAUAUGAAGUAGGUGCUUUUCCAAGUAACUGAUGAGGUUAUACAUAAUAUCCUUAAACCAAUAAUGAGUUUAGGAAUACCGUUAUGUGAAAAAGAGUCAAGGUAGUUAAAGAAUUUAAGAUAAAUGUUAGACAAUAAUGUAUAAGGUGUAAAAAUGAAUAGAGAAUAUAGUAAUCUAAUGUAGAAUAUUGUAAACGAUGAGAGGGUCGUUGAGAAGAAAUGUAAGGGAAGAUAAGGAGUUGUAUAUUAAGUAAUAAAAGAUAAUAGGAAUGAUGAUAACAAUGAAUAAAACGGGGAUGAAUUAGAAAAGGGAAAGAUGAAUAGGAAAGAGGUAAUAGUUAUAAUGGUUGUCAAUAAUAAUAACGACUAGUAUCGAGAGAAUGAAACCUUGAAUUAUAAUGUAGUCUUAGUGAGAAAAGUUGUUGAAGUCGAAAUUAAUGAUAAGGUGAGAUAAUAACUUUAUAUUAGAAUGAAGUUAAGAUUAGGGGAAUGGAUGAUGAAUAGAUGGCUACGAAUGUAACACCCUUUUAACCCAACAACAUAAAUAUAAUAAUAAAUCAGAGUUUAUCACCAAAACGGGCAUGCUACACUGCUAUUUCAAAAUUUCAUAAAUAGAAUAGAAUACUAUUUAUUCAAUGACUUUAAUAAAAAUGUCAUUACAUCGCAGCGGAAUAUUUUUAAAUUAUUCAAUAUCAACAAACUUCAUAAAAUCUGGCACAAAGGCCUCAACGUAAUAUUUUUAAAAUGUAAACCAACAUGAACAUGAAACUACAACUACAGGUUCACAAUUUGAUACAUAAGGAAUGAAAACAUAACAACAAUUUUUCAUCCCGUUACGUAUUAGAGCCCUAAGACACUUGAGCCACCACUACUACUCUUCAAUACCUGCAAGUUACCCAUACGAAGGGUAACAUUUCCAAGCAGAAGGGGUGAAAUUCACAACAAUAAAUAUAGGUAUAUAAUUCAUCAUUAGCAUUUAACAAUAUCAAAUACAACAGUUUAAUUAACAAUAAUAUUCAUGCUUCAUUUACAACAACAAACAACAACCUCCACAACAACAACAACACCAACGACUCCACCAACAAUGACUAUAAAUGCAACCGACAACAAACAACAAAUGCAUUAUGCAUGUCGUACCAUUUUCAACGUGUUGAAUGACUGAGCAUUCCGGGGCAUGAGCCCCCAACAAUUUGAAUGGUUAAAGCAUUCCAGGACAUAAGUCCCCAACGGUAUAUCACAACGUGGUGAAUGACAAGCAUUCUGUAACGCCCACUUUCAUUUAAUUAUUUAUUUAAUCGAGUUUAGGCAAUUAUAUUAUAUUUAUAUAAUAUAUGUGUGAGUUUUGUUGAUUUAAGAUGAUUUAGAUCAUUUGAUGUGUUUUGAUGAUUUGAUAAGAUUAUGAGACUUAAUUUAUUGUUAAAUAAAAUAAGAUUUGAUAAGAAAAUAAAAAUAUUUAGUUGAGGGCUGUUUUGAGAUUUUAGAGAGUUUUGGGGGAGAAAGAGAGAUAAGAUAAGUUAUUAGGAAGAGGUAUAAAAGAGAUAGACCUAGUUUUAUAAAAAACAUUGCACGUACGAUUGUUUUUGGAAAAGAAGGAAAACCAAGAGAAGAGCUAGAGAGAGGGCUGCGAUUUCUUCAAUACAAGGUAAGAGUGAGACUAAUAAUUCAGUAAUGUUAAUUGUUAUAAUUCUGAUGAUUAAUUGACAAAGUUAGGAUUGAUUUAGAAAAGUUUUGAAAUUAGGUUAAAUCCCUAAAAUUGAUGAUCAAACGGUAAAACUUGAUUAGAUUGAUGUAGAAACCGUCCUAUAACCUUAGAAUAUGUUUAGGAUGAAUUCUGGAAUUGAGAUUAGGCUUAGAACCAUGUGAGAUCAUGAAAUUUUUGUAGAAACUGUAUUCUGUCUGAGCCAAAGUUCAUCGCUCGCCAUAGCGAGCUAUGAUCCUCGCCUCGCGAGUGAUGAAUGUUCAUCGCUCGCCACGCGAGCCAUAACCCUUCGCCUCGCGAGUUACUUGUUGUAGCUCGCCACGGCGAGCAACCCUACUCGCCAUAGCGAGCUUGACCAGAGAGCAUGUCAUUUUCUGAGUUUUUGACUUUUGAGUUGAACCUUAGAUGCCUUUGAGUACCUUUAGGUGCCUACUAUUGAUUAGGGAAUGAUUUAGAACGAGAUUGAACCUGGAACAACCUUAGUUGGGAAUCUGGCUUGUACUCGCCAUGGCGAGCUGAUGCUCUCGCCUCGCGAGCACUUCCAGAAUUGAGUGUAUUUGAGGAUUGUGAGCCCUGAGUUGUUUGGAUUGGUUAGGAAAGGAACUUUAGGUGCUAAUGAGACCUAUUAAAGAUAAUGACUGAGAACUGUGAAGCUUUUAUGAUAUGUUAAGUGAAUAUAAAGUGAAUUAUGGAUUGAUUGUAUUUACUUGAAUUAUUAUUGAAUGAUCAAGGAAUUGUUGAAAAUGAAUUGUUAUUAAGCUUGAUGUGAUUUGAUUAUGCUGCAAUUGUUAUUUAACUAAGUUGCAUGAGUCUGAAUUAAGUUCAUGAUGAACUCCAAAUUAUUGGAUGUAUAAGUAAUAAGUUAAUUAAGAUGUUUUGUUGUUAGAGUCCAUGCAUUAGCAUUCAUUGAGCUUUGUCCUCACCAUGAUCGGAGCUUUGUCCUCCACACGAUAGGAGCUUUGUCCUCCGCACGAUUAAAGUAUAUUAAUACUAUGAUGACGAUUGGUACCACAUGCAUAUAAGUGUCUAAGUUGCAUUGUCGCAUUUGUUGAGUUUUAAAGAUGUUUAUGUUAUUGAUGAUGAUUGAAGUUGUGAUUAUGUGAUAAUUGUUUAUCAAUGAUGCAAUGUUGAUUAAGACUGAUUGUGAUGUUAAUUAUGAUUUCGAAUUAUAUUGAUUAAUAUUAUUGUGUUAUGAAAUCUCACCCCUUCUGCUUGAAAAUGUUGCUCUUCGUAUGAGUAACUUGCAGGUGAUCGUGCUUAAGUGUGCAGUUUGCUGUCGUGAGUGGCCUUGCCUCACGAAGUCGUCUAGGUCGCUCUGAUACGUAACGGGAUGGGGUGUUUGUGAUGCAUGCUUAAUUCUCUUACGUGAAAAUUUAUGUUAUUUUUAUAAUGUUGAUUAACUUUUGAAAUACUUUGAUGGGGCCUACGUGCCAAAACGUUUAAUGGAUUAUGAAAUAAUUUCCGCUGCAUUAUUUAAGUAAAUUUUUGAAAGUUAAAUUGUUAUUUAACUGAUUUCGGAUAAUGUUAUAAUGUGAUAUCCCGUUUAUGCUGUUUACUCUGAUAAAUGUUUAGAAAUUUUUAUAUUGGAAAAACGGGGUGUUACAAUUGGUAUCAGAGCAGGUCGGUCCGUCCGGUCAAUUAGAAGAGUCUUGUCGAGUCUUAGUAAUAUUUGUAUUACUAUCUUAUGUUGUUGUUGUUGCUGCUUGUUGUAGAAUAUCAGAAAUGGCUGGAAAGAACGAUGCUGCGUUAGCUGCUGCUCUACAAGCUGUUGCCCAAGCUGUGGGACAACAACCUAACGCAAAUGCUGGUGUAAAUGCUGAGACCAGGAUGUUGGAGACCUUCAUGAGAAAUCAUCCUCCAACUUUCGAAGGAAGAUAUGACCCCGAUGGAGCCCAGACGUGGCUAAAAGAGAUUUAGAGGAUUUUCCGUGUGAUGCAGUGCACCGAGGUCCAGAAAGUACGAUUUGGUACUCAUCAGCUAGCUGAGGAAGCUGAUGAUUGGUGGGUUAGUCUGCUACCUAACCUUGAGCAAGAUGGAGCUGUGUGACUUAGGCUGUGUUCAGGAGAGAGUUCCUGAGAAGAUACUUUCCAGAAGAUGUUCGCGGGAAGAAGGAGAUCGAGUUCCUUGAGCUGAAACAAGGGAACAUGUUUGUGAAAGAGUACGCUGCCAAAUUUGUGGAGUUGGCAAAGUUCUAUCCGCACUAUGCUGCUGAGACUGCUGAGUUCUCGAAAUGCAUCAAGUUCGACAAUGGUUUGAGGCCCAACAUGAAGAUGGCGAUCGGAUACCAACAGAUCCCAGUUUUCCCUGAUUUAGUGAAUAGCUGCAGAAUCUACGAGGAAGAUACCAAGGCUCAUUACAAGGUUGUGAAUGAGCGGAAGACCAAGGGCCAGCAGAGUCGCCCUAAGCCUUAUAGUGCCCCUGUUGAUAAGGGCAAACAGAGAAUGGUCGAUGAUAGACGGCCUAAGAAGAAGGAUGCUCCUGCGGAGAUUGUUUGUUUCAACUGUGGCGAGAAAGGCCACAAGUGUAAUGUUUGUCCUGAAGAGAUCAAGAAAUGUGUCCGGUGUGGCAAGAAGGGUCAUAUUGUAUGCUUCAAUUGUAAUGAAGAGGGUCAUAUUGGUUCCUAAUGCAAGCAGCCUAAGAGGGCGCCUACUACGGGUCGAGUUUUUGCUCUGGCUGGUACUUAGACAGAGAAUGAGGAUCGUUUGAUCAGAGGAUCUUGCUAUAUUAAUAAUACUCCUUUAGUUGCUAUUAUUGAUACUGGUGCUACACAUUGCUUUAUUGCUUUCGAUUGUGUUUCUGCUUUGGGUCUUGAUUUGUCUGAUAUGAAUGGAGAGAUGGUUGUCGAAACUCCAGCUAAGGGUUCGGUGACUACUUCUCUCGUAUGUUUGCGAUGUCCUUUGUCUAUGUUUGGUCGUGAUUUUGAAAUGGAUUUAGUUUGUCUACCUUUGAGCGGUAUGGAUGUUAUUUUGGGUAUGAAUUGGUUAGAGUACAACCAUGUUCAUAACAAUUGUUUUAGCAAGUCAGUGUAUUUCUCUUCCGUUGAAGAGGAAAGUGGUGCAGAGUUCUUAUCUACUAAGCAGCUGAAGCAAAUGGAACGCGAUGGUAUUUUGAUGUUUUCGUUGAUGGCUUCUUUAUCUAUUGAGAAUCAAGCAGUGAUUGAUAAGCUACAAGUGGUAUGCGACUUUCCUGAAGUUUUUCCAGAUGAAAUUCCUAAUGUGCCUCCAGAGAGGGAAGUUGAGUUUUCUAUUGAUCUUGUUCCUGGAACGAAGUUGGUAUCGAUGGCACCUUAUCGUAUGUCUGCUUUCGAGUUAGCUGAGUUGACAAAACAGUUAGAAGAUUUGCUCAAGAAGAAAUUUGUUAGACCAAGUGUUUCACCUUGGGGAGCGCCAGUUUUGCUAGUCAAGAAGAAAGAUGGUAGCAUGAGAUUGUGUAUUGACUAUCGUCAGUUGAACAAGGUAACUAUCAAGAAUAGGUAUCCACUUCCGAGAAUUGAUGAUUUGAUGGAUCAGUUAGUGGGUGCAAAAGUUUUCAGCAAGAUUGAUUUGAGAUCAGGGUAUCACCAGAUUAAAGUGAAAGAUGAAGAUAUGCAGAAGACAGCUUUCAGAACGCGUUAUGGUCACUAUGAAUAUAAAGUUAUGCCUUUCGGUGUGACCAAUGCACCUGGACUGUUUAUGGAGUAUAUGAAUCGCAUCUUCCAUGCCUUUUUGGAUCGGUUCGUAGUUGUGUUUAUUGACGACAUUUUGAUUUACUCCAAGACUGAAGAAGAACAUGCUGAGCAUCUGAAGAUUGUCUUGCAAGUGUUGAAAGAGAAGAAACUUUAUGCUAAAUUGUCUAAGUGUGAAUUCUGGUUGAAAGAAGUACCUUUUCUUGGCCAUGUUAUUUCUGGUGAUGAUAUUGCAGUGGAUCCAUCUAAAGUUGAAGCGGUAUCGCAAUGGGAGACUCCUAAGUCAGUUACAGAGAUUAGAAGUUUCUUGGGUUUAGCUGGUUACUACAGAAGAUUUAUUGAAGGAUUUUCCAAGUUAGCACUUCCGCUAACGCAGUUGACUUGUAAAGGUAAAACUUUUGUGUGGGAUGUUCAUUGUGAGUACAGUUUCAGUGAAUUGAAGAAACGUUUGAUGACUGCUCCAGUUUUGAUUUUACCGAAGUCCGAUGACCUUUUUGUGGUGUAUUAUGAUGCGUCCAAGUUGGGUUUAGGAGGUGUACUUAUGCAAGAUGGUAAAGUGGUAGCUUAUGCUUCAAGACAGUUGAGAAUUCAUGAGAAGAAGUACCCGACACAUGAUUUAGAGUUGGCGGCUGUGGUCUUUGUAUUUAAGAUAUGGAGACAUUACUUGUAUGGUUCGAGGUUUGAGGUGUUUAGCGAUCACAAGAGCUUGAAAUAUUUGUUCGAUCAAAAGGAAUUAAAUAUGAGGCAGCGUAGAUGGCUAGAAUUGUUGAAAGAUUAUGACUAUGGUUUGAAUUAUCAUCCAGGUAAAGCUAAUGUUGUUGCAGAUGCCUUGAGCAGGAAGACAUUGCAUAUGUCAGCUUUGAUGGUUAGAAAGUUUGAGUUACUUGAACGGUUCAGAGAUUUGAGUUUAGUUUGUGAAUGGUCACCUCAGAGUGUGAAAUUGGGAAUGCUGAAGAUUGAUAGUGAAUUUCUGAAGAGUAUUAAAGAGGCACAUAAAUUUGAUGUCAAGUUUGUAGACUUGUUGGUUGCUAGUAAUCAGACUGAAGACGGUGACUUUAAAGUCGACGAGCACGGUGUGUUGAGAUUCCGAGGUCGGAUUUGCAUUCCUGACGAUGCAGAUAUGAAGAAAAUGAUUCUUGAAGAGAGUCAUAGAAGUAGCUUGAGUAUUCAUCCGGGAGCUACGAAGAUGUAUCACAAUUUAAAGAAGAUUUUCUGGUGGUCUGGUUUGAAACGAGAUGUGGCACAGUUUGUGUAUUCCUGUUUAGUUUGUCAGAAGUCGAAGAUUGAGCAUCAGAAACCUGCUGGUAUGAUGGUAUCUUUAGAUGUGCCAGAAUGGAAAUGGGAUAGUAUAUCCAUGGAUUUUGUGACGAGUUUGCCGAAUACUCCUAGAGGGAACGACGCAAUUUGGGUAAUCGUUGAUAGAUUGACGAAGUCGGCUCAUUUUCUACCGAUUAAUAUCAGUUUUCCUGUUGCCUAGUUGGCAGAGAUUUAUAUCAAGGAGAUUGUGAGGUUACAUGGUGUGCCUUCGAGCAUUGUAUCAGAUCGAGAUCCAAGAUUUACUUCUAGAUUUUGGAGGAGUUUGCAAGAGGCUUUAGGUUCGAAGUUGAGAUUGAGUUCGGCUUAUCAUCCGUAGACAGAUGGUCAGUCAGAGAGGACAAUUCAGUCGCUAGAGGAUUUGUUGAGAGUUUGUGUUCUUGAGCAAGGAGGAACUUGGGAUAGUCAUCUUCCGUUGAUCGAGUUCACAUACAAUAAUAGUUAUCAUUCUAGUAUUGGAAUGGCACCUUUUGAGGCUUUGUAUGGUCGGAGAUGCAGAACUCCGUUGUGCUGGUUUUAGUCAGGUGAAAGAGUGGUCUUAGGACCCGAGAUUGUUCAGAAGACUACUAAGAAAGUUAAGAUGAUUCAAGAGAAAAUGAAAGCGUCGCAGAGUCGACAAAAGAGUUAUCAUGAUAAGCGCAGGAAGAAUCUUGAGUUUCAGGAAGGAGAGCACGUGUUUUUGAGAGUCACUCCUGUGACUGGUGUUGGACGUGCCUUGAAGUCAAAGAAGUUGACUCUGAGAUUUAUUGGUCCGUAUCAGAUAUCGGAAAGAGUUGGAACAGUGGCGUAUCGAGUGGGAUUACCACCGUAUCUUUCGAAUUUGCACGAUGUUUUCCAUGUGUCGCAACUUCGAAAGUAUGUUCCGGAUCCAUCUCAUGUGAUCCAAAGUGAUGAUGUGCAAGUCAGAGACAACCUUACGGUAGAGACUUUACCGGUGAGGAUUGAUGAUCGGAAAGUGAAGAUGUUGAGAGGCAAGGAGAUAUCCCUUGGUAGAGUCAUUUGGCCUGGAGCGACUGGUGAAAGCUUGACGUGGGAGCUUAAAAGUAAGAUGCUGGAGUCUUAUCCAGAGUUGUUUGCUUGAGGUAAAUUUUCGAGGACGAAAAUCUUUUAAGUGGGGGAGAGUUGUAACGCCCACUUUCGUUUAAUUAUUUAUUUAAUCGAGUUUAGGCAAUUAUAUUAUAUUUAUAUAAUAUAUGUGUGAGUUUUGUUGAUUUAAGAUGAUUUAGAUGAUUUGGAUGAUUGGAUGUGUUCUGAUGAUUUGAUAAGAUUAUGAGACUUAUUUUAUUGUUAAAUAAAAUAAGAUUUGAUAAGAAAAUAAAAAUAUUUAGUUGAGGGCUGUUUUGAGAUUUUAGAGAGUUUUGGGGGAGAAAGAGAGAUAAGAUAAGUUAUUAGGAAGAGGUAUAAAAGAGAUAGACCUAGUUUUAUAAAAAACAUUGCACGUACGAUUGUUUUUUGAAAAGAAGGAAAACCAAGAGAAGAGCUAGAGAGAGGGCUGCGAUUUCUUCAAUACAAGGUAAGGGUGAGACUAAUAAUUCAGUAAUGUUAAUUGUUAUAAUUCUGAUGAUUAAUUGACAAAGUUAGGAUUGAUUUAGAAAAGUUUUGAAAUUAGGUUAAAUCCCUAAAAUUGAUGAUCAAACGGUAAAACUUGAUUAGAUUGAUGUAGAAACCGUCCUAUAACCUUAGAAUAUGUUUAGGAUGAAUUCUGGAAUUGAGAUUAGCCUUAGAACCAUGUGAGAUCAUGAAAUUUGUGUAGAAACUAUAUUCUGUCCGAGCCAAAGUUCAUCGCUCGCCAUAGCGAGCUAUGAUCCUCGCCUCGCGACUUACUUGUUGUAGCUCGCCACGGCGAGCAACCCUACUUGCCAUAGCGAGCUUGACCAGAGAGCAUGUCAUUUUCUGAUUUUUUCACUUUUGAGUUGAACCUUAGAUGCCUUUGAGUACCUUUAGGUGCCUACUAUUGAUUAGGGAAUGAUUUAGAACGAGAUUGAACCUGGAACAACCUUAGUUGGGAAUCUAGCUUGUACUCGCCUUGCGAGCACUUCUAGAAUUGAGUGUAUUUGAGGAUUGUGAGCCCUGAGUUGUUUGGAUUGGUUAGGAAAGGAACUUUAGGUGCUAAUGAGACCUAUUAAAGAUAAUGACUGAGAACUGUGAAGCUUUUACGAUAUGUUAAGUGAAUAUAAAGUGAAUUAUGGAUUGAUUGUCUUUACUUGAAUUAUUAUUGAAUGAUCAAGGAAUUGUUGGAAAUGAAUUGUUAUGAAGCUUGAUGUGAUUUGAUUAUGCUGCAAUUUUUAUUUAACUAAGUUGCAUGAGUCUGAAUUAAGUUGAUGAUGAACUCCAAAUUAUUGGAUCUAUAAGUGAUAAGUUGAUUAAGAUGUUUUGUUGUUAGAGUCCAUGCAUUAGCAUUCAUUGAGCUUUGUCCUCACCAUGAUCGGAGCUUUGUCCUCCACACAAUAGGAGCUUUGUCUUCCGCACGAUUAAAGUAUAUUAAUACUAUGAUGACAAUUGGUACCAUAUGCAUAUAAGUGUCUAAGUUGCAUUGUCGCAUUUGUCGAGUUUUAAAGAUGUUUAUGUUAUUGAUGAUGAUUGAAGUUGUAAUUAUGUGAUACUUGUUUAUCAAAGAUGCAAUGUUGAUUAAGACUGAUUGUGAUGUUAAUUAUGAUUUCGAAUUAUAUUGAUUAAUAUUAUUGUGUUAUGAAAUCUCACCCCUUCUGCUUGAAAAUGUUGCUCUUCGUAUAAGUAACUUGCAGGUGAUCGUGCUUAAGUGUGCAGUUUGCUGUCUUGAGUGGCCUUGCCUCACUGAGUCGUCUAGGUCGCUCUGAUAUGUAACGGGAUGGGGUUUUUGUUAUGCAUGCUUCAUUCUCUUACGUGAACAUUUAUGUUAUUUUUAUAAUGUUGAUUAACUUUUGAAAUACUUUGAUGGGGCCUACGUGCCAAAACGUUUUAUGGAUUAUGAAAUAAUUUCCGCUGCAUUGUUUAAGUAAAUUGUUGAAAGUUAAAUUGUUAUUUAACUGAUUUCGGAUAAUGGUAUAAUGUGAUAUCCCGUUUAUGCUGUUUACUCUGAUAAAUGUUUAGAAAUUUUUAUAUUGGGAAAACGGGGUGUUACACAUUCCAGGGCAUGAGCCCCCAACAAUUGAAUGGUUAAAGCAUUCGUUUAUAUCAACGUGGUGAAUGACAAAGCACUCCAGGGCAUGAGCCCCCAACGGAUUAUGAGUAUGCAAAUGGACUCGAGAUUUGUGUAUUUCAACAUACGACUCAACAACAUAAACAACUUGCAACAUAGCAAUAUUAAUAUUAACAACUUGAAUGAUAAUAACAACGAUAUUUUCUAUCUCAUACAUUUUCCACAUAUUUUAUAAAUAGCUUAAGUUAACCAACAACAUCAAUUAUAUUAGUUUAGAUUCACUGAAAGGCUAUACCUUUAUAAACAACUUUCAUUCCUACCCCAAAGACCAACUCAUGAACUCAUUAGCCCCUUUAUACAAGGUUAUUUCAUACCUAAAAACAUCUCUAGACGGUUAGGAUAAAGUCCCUACACUUAGGAAGAAGUUUGGAAGCAAUUGGAGUGAAGAAAAAUGCAUUUUAAAAGUUCCUGGUCAGGCAAAAUCGUAGCCCGAUUUUUCCCCAUCGUAGUACGAUUUUUUUUCGUGCUGAAACACCCUAAAACCUGGUCAAAAUCAUAGCCCGAUUUCUAAAAUCGUAGCCCAAUUUCUGCUCGACAGACAACAUCAGAUUUUUUAAUUUUCACGUUUUCGCACUUAAAAUCCAAUGCGUUAACCCGUUUUCGAUGUCGUUUUCGCCUAAACGCUCCUGACACUUAGCUCUAUCGUAAUCUACAGAAAAAUUCAAGUUUCAACCACCCAAAAAUCAAUUUCCAGAACCUCACAUAAUCACUUAUUUGCAAAACGUUUAGACACCGAGUUUUCAAGCGAAAAUCCCAAUUUUCAUCAACACAAAUCCCAAAUUUGAUAGGAAACUUAUCCUAUGAUUAUCCUACAACCUGAACAUCAAUUCUUAACACAAUUUCGAUGAUUUCUACACUUUUCAAUUCAAAAAUCAAUAAUCAAAACCUAAUCCCAAUUCCCAAAUUUAACCACAACCCCUUGUUAAAUCAAAAUCAGAAUCAUACAAACUAUAAUCAUUGAGAGUUAGCCUCACCCUUACCUUAGAUUGAUGAAUAAAACUCUACCAAAAAUCUGAUUCUCCCCACUUGGCUCUUCUCCUAGCUUUCUCUUGGUUUUUCUCCCAAACUCUGUUUGUACGUGAAACUGCUUCUGACUUCUCAAUUUUCCUAACUCCUAAACUUAACUCCCCUUUAUUUUAUUUAACUCCCACUUAAUUCACUUAAUUACUAUUUAACCCCAAAACUCCAAAUAAAUUCUAAUUCUCACUUAUUCUAUUAAAUAAUAAAAAUAGUCAUUUAAUAAAAUACACCACACCAUAAAAAUCAACAUAAAUCAUUUAAAAUCAUAUAAAAGACUUUAAAUCAACCAAAAAUAUUUAAAUAACAACUAGGGCGUUACAACGAACUUGAGAACAAAGUAAUAAGAUAUAAAAUAGUUUUAUUGAGAAGAAUAAGUAUGAAAGAAUUAAUGGCAAUGGUGAGGAAGAACCUAGUUAUGUAGGGUAAGUUGUAUGUAAUGAUAAUGAAUAAGAAAACAUCUUGAGACUCGGAAUGAGGAAUAGAUAUGAUAUCAGAGAUAAAGUUUAUAGAUAGCCUAAAAUAAAGGAGAGAAAAGAGUGUUCCCAUAAAAUGAAUAAUGAAAUAAAAUAGAGGGAUCUUGGUGUAGAAAUGAGUCAUGCGUAAGGGUUGGAUUAAUAAAGAGAUAAGGUGGUGAUAUAAACGGUUGAUAGAGAGUAAUGAUGAGGAAUCCAUACUGUAACAAAGAGUGAUGACGAUUAAUAUUAUAUAUAUGUAAAGAAAUUACUACGAUAGAAAAUGAUGAUGUUAUAUUAUAAUAAUGAUGAGAAUGACGAUGUCUAUGUUAUUGUGAUGAUGAUAAUCUUGAUGGUUAAUCUAUAACGAUGAUGAGAGUGAUGAUUUUUAUCUAUGAUGAUGAUUAGAGUGGUGAUGGUGUUUUGAGUGCUUGCAUUAGAGUCCUGCAUUAAUAUGUAGGUUAUGUGAUUAAGUGUAUACAUGUAAUAUUUGUCGAAUUGAAUUCUUUACGUUCAUAUAGAGUUUAGAGGAUGGUCCCAAGGCCAACUACACUUUCAACACAAACCAACUCCCUUUGAAAAUCCUUCCUCUCUCAUUACCUUUUGAAUGAAUGAAAAAUAAGAAGGAAGCCAAAUUCCUACCAUUUAACACCUAUCUCUUUUAGCCAAAACACCACCACUAAACUUCUAUCACCGUCCUCUAUAAAAUCCACUAAAUUAUUUUUAAAUGGAAGAGAUUUUAAUAUAUAUCCCAACCACCGCCUUAUAUCAAUCAAUGUAUGAAUUGAUAGAGGUAAACAAUUUUGAAUCCUAAUUACUCUGAAACUAAUGGAUGAAUAAAUGGGUAAAAGUGUUGAUUGAAAAAAAAUAGUAAUGGAAUGUCUCAAUUAUCUUAAUACAAUGAUCUCUUAAUCUCAAUUAUUUUGCUUCCAUGAAUAAAUAACUCUUGUUAGAAAAUGAACAUGCAAUGCUCAGUCCUAUAAGAUUUUUUUAAACUGCAAAUCGUUUAGGAGUUGGUAAAAAUUCUAUGUUUAUAGUUUUUUAUUUUUUCCUUAUAGUUUUUGUUUUUUUUU